ACUCCUACGGGAGGCAGCAGUGGGGAAUAUUGCACAAUGGGCGAAAGCCUGAUGCAGCAACGCCGCGUGAGCGAUGUAGGCCUUCGGGUCGUAAAGCUCUGUCCUCAAGGAAGAUAAUGACGGUACUUGAGGAAUAAGCCACGGCUAAUUCCGUGCCAGCAGCCGCGGUAAU
rnacentral:rRNA from 1 species